CGAGUCUUGAUCGGCUUCAGCUUCACUCCCAUGCUCUCAGGAGAUAGCAACUCCGGUGAUAUACAACAUGGACUUAGCGGACUGCGAGGGCUGCUGUUCAUCUGGUACGGUCUGUAAAGCCCGUAUCCCAUGAGGAAGUACUCCAUCGGCAUCAGCAUAGCAUGUGGCUGCUCCUCGGUUGGAUCCAUAUGUUACCUCAACUAGAGCACAAUAUCUCUUGUCCAACUUUGUGGUCAUGUGGAUGGCAUCCUCAUGGAAUUGCGAGUUUUCUCCUACGAAAAUCAGUGUUCGACACUGCAGCUUCCUCAAUGCAUCUGUUAAGUCAUGCCUCCUGAUGGAGUUGAAGAAACCGCCAGAUAUUUUCACCCUGCCUCUCAUCAAGCAACUGCACAAUAAAAAUAAAUAACGCCUUCACUGAGAAUAGUGACUUCUGAAGUCACCUUGCUGAAGUACCGCUGAAGCAAGCAUUCCUUGACCAAGCCUCGAGUCCCGUAAUAUCUUACUGAAACAUGAAGUUACCUUAUUAUACAACCAUUCACUCCAUGAUGGGGCUCUGCAUAGAGGGGAAACCAACAUCAAGCCUAUUACCCUCUCCCGGAACACUCACUGCAAACAGAGUGAGGACAUAGGCACCAGCUGUAACACCCAGGCACAUCACAGAUCCUAACCCGAAGAAAUCGAGCACAUCCGCAACCUGAUCGGCGAGAUCCUCUACAGAUGGCACCGGCACAUCGGAUGGAAUUGGAGCCGCUCCGACCUCGUGCCCCUGAGGAUUUAUGUGGUAUAUGCAGAAAUUGUGGAGCAGCAGCGACGCCACCUCGGGGCAAAACAGCAAUCCUUGGAAGCAGGACAUGUGGUUCAACGCGAUGUCCGGGUACGUGAUGAGCGCCGGCUUGUCCUCGUCUCCGUAUAUCGCGACGGAUAAUGAACCGCAUCUCGUCCUCACUUGAUGCUCCU
rnacentral:sRNA from 1 species